rnacentral:rRNA from 1 species
CAGCCGCCGCGGUAAUACGAAAGGUCCAAGCGUUACUCGGAAUUACUGGGCGUAAAGAGCGCGUAGGCGGUUUUGUAUGUCGAUUGUGAAAGCCCCGGGCUCAACCUGGGAACUGCAGUCGAAACUGCAAGACUUGAAUGUUGGAGAGGUUGGGGGAAUACCUAGUGGAGAAGUGAAAUUCGUAGAGGUUAGGUGGAACACCAGAGGCGAAGGCGCCUGACUGGCCAAACAUUGACGCUAAGGCGCGAAAGCGUGGGUAGCAAACAGGAUUAGAUACCCGCGUAGUCCCUGUCUCUUAUAC